ACACGUAUGGGGCGAGCGUUGUUCGGAAUUACUGGGCGUAAAGGGUGCGCAGGCGGUUCAGCAAGCUCGGUGUUAAAUACCCCGGCCCAACCGGGGGGCUGCGCUGAGAACUGCUGGGCUUGAGUUCAGGAGGGGAAGCUGGAAUUCCUGGUGUAGGGGUGAAAUCUGUAGAGAUCAGGAAGAACACCGGUGGCGAAGGCGAGCUUCUGGCCAUGGACUGACGCUGAGGCACGAAAGCGUGGGGAGCGAACAGGAUUAGAUACCCUGGUAGUCCACGCCGUAAACGAUGUGCACUAGGUGUUGGGGCGAUGAAGCCUCGGUGCCGUAGCGAACGUGGUAAGUGCACCGCCUGGGGAGUAUGCUCGCAAGGGUGAA
rnacentral:rRNA from 1 species